rnacentral:rRNA from 1 species
AUACAGAGGCCCAUAGCGUUGUUCGGAUUUACUGGGCGUAAAGGGCGCGUAGGCGGCAGGGCGUGUCAAGUGUGAAAUCUCCGGGCCCAACCCGGAAAGUGCGCUUGAAACUACCUUGCUCGAGGCCGGGAGAGGGAAUCGGAAUACAGGGUGUAGCGGUGAAAUGCGUUGAUAUCCUGUAGAACACCGGAGGCGAAGGCGGAUUCCUGGAACGGUACUGACGCUGAGGCGCGAAAGUCGGGGGAGCAAACAGGAUUAGAUACCCUGGUAGUCCCGACCUUAAACGGUGCACACUCGAGGUGGGGGGAUUUCACCCCUCCCGUCUCUUAGUCAACACGUUAAGUGUGCCGCCUGGGGAGUACGGCCGCAAGGCUAAAACUCAAAGGAAUUGACGGGG